rnacentral:rRNA from 1 species
AUUGAACGCUGGCGGCAUGCCUAACACAUGCAAGUCGAACGGAGAUAGGGGCAACCUUAUUUCAGUGGCGGACGGGUGAGGAAUGCGUCGGAAUCUGCCCUAUGGUGGGGGAUAACACAGGGAAACUUGUGCUAAUACCGCAUAAUGUCGAGAGACCAAAGCAGGGGACCGCAAGGCCUUGCGCGAUAGGAUGAGCCGACGCCCGAUUAGCUUGUUGGUAGGGUAAUGGCCUACCAAGGCGACGAUCGGUAGCUGGUCUGAGAGGAUGAUCAGCCACACUGGGACUGAGACACGGCCCAGACUCCUACGGGAGGCAGCAGUGGGGAAUAUUGGACAAUGGGCGCAAGCCUGAUCCAGCAAUGCCGCGUGUGUGAAGAAGGCCUGCGGGUUGUAAACUGCUUUUGUACGGAACGAAAAGAUCUCUUCUAAUAAAGGGGGUCCAUGACGGUACCGUAAGAAUAAGCACCGGCUAACUACGUGCCAGCAGCCG